rnacentral:rRNA from 1 species
UACGGAGGGGACUAGUGUUGUUCGGAAUUACUGGGCGUAAAGCGCACGUAGGCGGAUUUGUAAGUUAGGGGUGAAAUCCCGGGGCUCAACCUCGGAACUGCCUUUGAUACUGCAAAUCUCGAGUCCGGAAGAGGUGAGUGGAAUUCCUAGUGUAGAGGUGAAAUUCGUAGAUAUUAGGAAGAACACCAGUGGCGAAGGCGGCUCACUGGGACGGUACUGACGCUGAGACGCGAAAGCGUGGGGAGCGAACAGG